rnacentral:rRNA from 1 species
UACGAAGGGGGCUAGCGUUGCUCGGAAUCACUGGGCGUAAAGCGCACGUAGGCGGCUUGUUAAGUCAGGGGUGAAAUCCCGAGGCUCAACCUCGGAACUGCCUUUGAUACUGGGGAUCUCGAGUCCGGGAGAGGUGAGUGGAACUGCGAGUGUAGAGGUGAAAUUCGUAGAUAUUCGGAGGAACACCAGUGGCGAAGGCGGCUCACUGGCUCGGUACUGACGCUGAGGUGCGAAAGCGUGGGGAGCAAACAGG